rnacentral:rRNA from 1 species
UCCUGGCUCAGAUUGAACGCUGGCGGCAUGCUUUACACAGUGCAAGCGAACGGCAGCGGGGGCUUCGGCCUGCCGGCGAGUGGCGAACGGGUGAGUAAUGCAUCGGAACGUGCCCAUGUUGUGGGGGAUAACGUAGCGAAAGCUACGCUAAUACCGCAUACGGUCCUGAGGGAGAAAAGCGGGGAAUCUUUGGACCUCGCGCGAUUGGAGCGGCCGAUGUCGGAUUAGCUAGUAGGUGAGGUAAAGGCUCACCUAGGCGACGAUCCGUAGCGGGUCUGAGAGGAUGAUCCGCCACACUGGGACUGAGACACGGCCCAGACUCCUACGGGAGGCAGCAGUGGGGAAUUUUGGACAAUGGGGGCAACCCUGAUCCAGCCAUGCCGCGUGAGUGAAGAAGGCCUUCGGGUUGUAAAGCUCUUUCGGCCGGGAAGAAAUCGUGGUCUCUAACAUAGGCCAUGGAUGACGGUACCGGACUAAGAAGCACCGGCUAACUACGUGCCAGCAGCCGCGGUAAG